rnacentral:lncRNA from 1 species
GCAUAAAUACGAUACCCGCACCGUCACGCAUCGAUUUAUUAAAAUCAAAUAUCAUAUCCGCCCUAUUGCAUCAUUGGUUCGAUUUUUUUCGCCUCAUUUCGUUCGGUUAACCGCGAUUUUCGAUUUUAACGGUUCAAAUUGCUAUCUCUAAUCCAAGGUCUUUAAACUUUCAGCACUUUGCAUUUUGGUUCCAAAAAUCAUAAUUUGUGUACACUUUUGAUCCUUUUUUUCUUAUUCAUGUUCUCCUUCAAUUGGGUAGUUUUAACCUACAGAAGCCAUAUAAAUAAUUGUGAGUAGAAAUUUACCAGAUCAAUCAAUAUUAAACUUAUUUAAGCAUCCAAGAAGUGUAGUUAUCCAAGGUAUGUGUUACGAAUGAAAAACACAUUCAAAAAUAUUUUUCGUCGUUUACCAAUUAUCUUUUUUCUAGUUAACGAGUUUGAUCCCUUUAUUAACUUGUACGGGGCUGAACAUUAUUUUCAGUUAGUUCAAAAUAAUUUAAGUUUACAUUCGGAACAAACAUAGCAACGUUAUGAGAACAAAUUAUAGAAUUGUAUAAUUUGUACUCUGGUUUAAAUUAUAAGAAUUUGAGUUUUCCUGAGUUCAAAAUGUAUGAAAGUAAUAUACUUGAAGCACCAACAUGAGACAAGACAUUAGUAAGUGUUGACCUUUUCAAUACACAAGUGUUGACCUUUUCAAUACACUUCAAUGGUGAAAUGCAUAGCAGUAUCAAAAUCUUGUAUAAUUAUUUAUCGUAGCCCACGAUUUGUUCACACCACCCUUUAUCACUACUAACAAACACGAGGCUUAUCAUAGGAGAUCAUAUGUUAGAUCGAGAUGCAUCAUGUGUCAUAUCAACAUUAUAAUCUGGAUAAAAACACAUUGGUAUACACUAAUGGCUUCAAAAAGAUGAAGGUGGCCUUUCGGCAUCUAUUUAGAUGUGCAAUUACAGAUUUC